GUCGUAACCAAGGGUUUCCGUAGGUUGAAACUUGCGGAAAGGGAUCAUGGUCGAAACUGCAGUGCAGAACGACCCGUGAAACCUGUCCUCACUACGGGGGAUUCAUCGGAUGGGUCAUUUGACCCUCCGGUGUCAUCCCAUACUAGGGGGGUGAGCUCGCCCAUCCCGUCACGGGUUUGCGAGUUUCACUUUCCUCUAUCUGAGAUCAAACGAAACGAAACGCCGCGAGCGCAACCCCGCGGCCAAAGGAAUUUCAACAGAGAUAUCACCGCCCCUCUGCCCCCCGUUGUUUCUGCGUGGUGUGUGAGUGGCGAUAGAAUCUUGCAUAUAUAAAAAAAAGGCUCUCUGGCAAAACGGAAAUUUAGAGUCUUCCCCUUUGGUUGGAGGAAGAAAGAACAAAAAUGGGAUACUUGGUGUGUGAAUUGCAGAAAUCCCGUGAACCAUCGAGUUUUUGAACGCAAGUUGCGCCCGAAGCCCCUAGGGCCGAGGGCCAGUUUGCCUUGGGCUUCUCACAAUGCGUCGCUACCCCACUCACCCUCGGGUGCCGUGUGAGGUGCGGAUAUUGGCUCCCCGUGUGCGAUUUCGCGCGGUCAGCCUAAAAGCGAAACCAAGCGAUCGCCGUCGCGGCAAGUGGUGGUUGCCAAACCGUUGCAUGCUGUCGUGCGCGUGCCGAUCGCCCUCGGUGACCCUUUGACCCUGAAGCUCCAUUAGAAUGGCGCCACGAUCGAGACCCCA
rnacentral:misc_RNA from 1 species